UACGUAGGAUGCAAGCGUUGUCCGGAAUUAUUGGGCGUAAAGAGCGCGCAGGCGGUCUGACAAGUCAGAUGUGAAAGAAGCCGGCUUAACCGGCAAGGGUCAUUUGAAACUGUCAGACUAGAGUGCACAAGAGGAUAGUGGAAUUCCCGGUGUAGUGGUGAAAUGCGUAGAUAUCGGGAGGAACACCUGUGGCGAAAGCGGCUCACUGGACCACAACUGGCGCUGAUGCGCGAAAGCUAGGGAGCAAACAGGAGUUAGAAACCCCAG
rnacentral:rRNA from 1 species